GGUGAGGUAACGGCCCACCAAGGCAAUGAUGGGUAGCCGGCCUGAGAUGGUGAACGGCCACAAGGGGACUGAGACACGGCCCUUACUCCUACGGGAGGCAGCAGUGGGGAAUAUUGGACAAUGGACCACAAGUCUGAUCCAGCAAUUCUGUGUGCACGAUGACGUUUUUCGGAAUGUAAAGUGCUUUCAGUCGGGAAGAAGUCAGUGACGGUACCGACAGAAGAAGCGACGGCUAAAUACGUGCCAGCAGCCGCG
rnacentral:rRNA from 1 species